UACGGAGGGUGCAAGCGUUGUUCGGAAUGACUGGGCGUAAAGGGCGCGUAGGUGGACGCUUAAGUUAGAUGUGAAAUCCCAGGGCUUAACCCUGGAACUGCAUCUAAUACUGGGCGUCUUGAAUGAUCGAGAGGUUGGUGGAAUUCCAGGUGUAGGAGUGAAAUCCGUAGAUAUCUGGAGGAACAUCGGAGGCGAAGGCGGCCGACUGGCGAAUCAUUGACACUGAGGCGCGAAAGCGUGGGGAGCAAACAGG
rnacentral:rRNA from 1 species